rnacentral:tRNA from 1 species
AUCUUAAUAGCAAAAAUGUAAAUGCUAGGGGCCUAAGCCCCCUGAUUAAAAGUUCAACACUUUUUUAAGAUU